rfam:Oryza brachyantha chromosome 10, whole genome shotgun sequence.
AAUAAAAUCAUUUUUCAGUUUUUUGAUACAAUGUUUUGACUCUUCGUCUUAUUUGAAUUUGUUUUGCGAUUAAUAUUUUUCUUCUUACUAAAUGAUAAAACAUGAAUAGUACUUUAUGUGUGACUAACUUUUUUAAGUUUUUGUACAAAUUUUUUAAAUAAGACGAAUGGUCAAACGUUGGACACGGAAAAACGAGAAAUGAAAUUAUU